rnacentral:rRNA from 1 species
UACGAAGGGGGCUAGCGUUGUUCGGAUUUACUGGGCGUAAAGCGCACGUAGGUGGCGACGUAAGUCGGGUGUGAAAGCCCCGGGCUCAACCUGGGAAUUGCAUUCGAGACUGCAUUGCUGGAGUACGGAAGAGGAAGGCGGAAUUCCCGGUGUAGCGGUGAAAUGCGUAGAUAUCGGGAGGAACAUCAGUGGCGAAGGCGGCCUUCUGGUCCAGUACUGACACUCAAGUGCGAAAGCGUGGGGAGCAAACAGG